rnacentral:lncRNA from 1 species
GCCAACAAUCUAAGGAAUUAUGGCUGGAGAUUACGAGAAUGGCAACAAGGUUGAUGUUGAUGGUCGAAGAACUUGUUGGUGAUUUUGCUCUCAUAUGUCUCUCGGAUGAAGCGCUCAGAACCAACAUUAGGAAGGAAUACUAUGAGCUUGGCUACUAUAGGAACCUGGUGGUUUCCAUAUUAUUGGGUUAUGUUUACGUAUUAAAGGAAUCAGUUUUGUAUGAUCUUAGAAUGUGGGGGUAUGCCUUCGUUUGCUUGCUAGGAGCCAGGUAAGUCCCUCUUAACUAAUUUUGGUGUAAUUGUUCUAUAUAUGUUUGUAUGGAUAUAUCUAUUUUAGCUAAAGAAAUUAAUAUUAAUUGUUAAGAGUAUCAAUGUCUUUGAAAAUGUUUUUGAUGAAAACCUAACUCAUGUUUUAGGAUUUGUGAAAUGCUAAACUGAAUUAUGAAAUUGAUUGUUUUUAUUUAUUGGACGGCUGAACUUGUAUAUAUGAGUGAUUGUUGAUAUAGAAGGAUUCGAACGUAAUAUAAAAAUCCUAAUAUCUGAAUUGAAAAAAUAAGAAUUUUCUCAUAAAAGUGGACAACUUAAUUUGAUAAUUAGUAGAAUGCAUUUUGCAAAUUGUUGACCUUUAUAAUAAGGAUAAUACUUAUGACUAUUAUGAUAAUUGUCAUUUACCAAACUCGAGUGUUUUUGAGAAUCUGUUUGAAAAGUUUAAUCCUUCCUAUGUGGAUAAUAUAUAUGUGCUUGCAUAUAUGUGUUAAUAUUUGUGAUUUAAAUAGUGUUCGUAGUCUUAUACAAGUGAUUAGUUAGCAAUGGAAGCAUGAAUUUUAUGUAUGGUGAUUGAGAUUUGUGAGUACUUGUUGACUUCUUUGAUGAUGGAUAUUUUGUCUUUCAAUUUCAUAUGUAUUUAACUCAUUCAUAUGUUACAAAAAUUGCUAAUUAUGUUUGAGUUAAAUUAUAUGCUUCAUAAGGUAAUAAUAAGAUAUGAACUUGUAGCGGUGACCGUAGACUCAUUUGACAAGUACAUGUGCAGCCACUUUUGUAAUAUACUAGUUGGUAUGAUGCUUUCAAUUUUUUGAUUCAAUGUUAACAGUGACAAGUGAUGGUUAGCAUCUAAGAGUCAAUUUUAUGAGUAUUUAGUUUGGAAUUUGGAGCUAAAUUGUUGAACAUUUCAAAUGAUGCUAACACUUAUUUAAAGAAUUUAGAGG